GAUGAACGCUGGCGGCGUGCCUAAUACAUGCAAGUCGAGCGAACAGACGAGGAGCUUGCUCCUCUGACGUUAGCGGCGGACGGGUGAGUAACACGUGGAUAACCUACCUAUAAGACUGGGAUAACUUCGGAAAACCGGAGCUACUACCGGACAAUCAAUAGAACCGCAUGGUUCAAUAGUGAAAGACGGUUUUGCUGUCAUUUCUAGAUGGAUUUGGGCCGCAUUAGCUAGUUGGUAAGGUAACGGCUUAGCAAGGCAACGAUGCGUAGCCGACCUGAGAGGGUGGUCGGCCACACUGGAACUGAGACACGGUCCAGACGCCAACGGGAGGCAGCAGUAGGGAAUCUUGCGCAAUGGGCGAAAGCCUGACGCAGCAACGCCGCGUGAGUGAUGAAGGUCGUCGGAUCGUAAAGCUCUGUUAUGAGGGAAGAACAAAAGUAUAAGUAACUAUGCACGUCUUGACGGUACCUAGACAGAAAGGCACGGCUAACUACGGG
rnacentral:rRNA from 1 species